rnacentral:piRNA from 1 species
UCGGAUGAACUGUUAGCAUUGAUUACUGGG